rnacentral:rRNA from 1 species
UACGUAGGGGGCAAGCGUUGUCCGGAUUUAUUGGGCGUAAAGAGCGUGUAGGCGGCCAGGUAGGUCCGUUGUGAAAACUCGAGGCUCAACCUCGAGACGUCGGCGGAAACCAUCUGGCUAGAGUCCGGAAGAGGAGAGUGGAAUUCCUGGUGUAGCGGUGGAAUGCGCAGAUAUCAGGAGGAACACCAAUAGCGAAGGCAGCUCGCUGGGACGUUACUGACACUGAGGCGCGAAAGCGUGGGGAGCGAACAGG